rnacentral:rRNA from 1 species
GACGUAGGGGGCGAGCGUUGUCCGGAUUCAUUGGGCGUAAAGAGCUCGUAGGCGGCUCAGUAAGUCGGCCGUGAAAACCCGGAGCUCAACUCCGGGACGCCGGUCGAUACUGCUGUGGCUAGGGUCCGGUAGAGGAGAGUGGAAUUCCCGGUGUAGCGGUGAAAUGCGCAGAUAUCGGGAGGAACACCAGUAGCGAAGGCGGCUCUCUGGGCCGGUACCGACGCUGAGGAGCGAAAGCUAGGGGAGCAAACAGGAUUAGAUACCCGCGUA